AUGAAACUUUAGUCGGCUUUGUUAUCAGUGCUGGUGGGGAACCACAUGUGCACGUUAGCAAGUCGCAAAUCCACACACCUGUGCAUUCUAUGACUCCAAGUUGCUCAUUAUGUGCUUUUACAAGCCUGUCAACUUGAGAGUACUUUUACACAAUCUUGAAUGUAACGGAAGUCUAUUGUGCUUGAUGUACAACUAAAA
rnacentral:misc_RNA from 1 species